ACGGAAGGCAGCAGUGGGGAAUAUUGCACAAUGGGGGAAACCCUGAUGUAGCAACGCCACGUGUGGGAAGAAGCAUUUCGGUGUGUAACCCACUGUCGUGAAGGAAUAAGGCUUAUUUUCGGAUAAGUUGAAUGUACUUUGAAAGGAAGCACCGGCAAACUUCGUGCCAGCAGCCGCGGUAAUACGAGGGGUGCAAGCGUUGUUCGGAAUCACUGGGCGUAAAGGGAGCGCAGGCGGAGAUGCAAGCAGUCUGUACAAUACCGGGGCCCAACCCCGGACCUGCAGACUGGACUGUUUCUCUUGGAUAGCUCAGGGACUGGCGGAAUUCCUGGUGUAGCGGUGGAAUGCGUAGAGAUCAGGAAGAACACCGAUGGCGAAGGCAGCCAGCUGGGGGCUUAUCGACGCUCAUGCUCGAAAGUGCGGGUAGCAAACAGGAUUAGAUACCCUGGUA
rnacentral:rRNA from 1 species